rnacentral:rRNA from 1 species
UACAUAGGGGGCAAGCGUUGUCCGGAAUUAUUGGGUGUAAAGGGUGCGUAGAUGGAGGAGCAAGUUGGCUGUGAAAUCCCUCGGCUUAACUGAGGAACUGCGACCAAAACUACUUCCCUUGAGUGUCGGAGGGGAAAGUGGAAUUCCUAGUGUAGCGGUGAAAUGCGUAGAUAUUAGGAGGAACACCGGUGGCGAAGGUGACUUUCUGGAGGAUAACUGACAUUGAGGCAUGAAAGUGUGGGGAGCAAAC